rnacentral:lncRNA from 1 species
AAAAGGAUAGAUCGAGGUAGAGAGAAUUCACCUACAACCAAUCUACUAUUUCUUGGGUAAUAUACCUGCAACCGAUUGACAAGAUCUGAGUCGUCAUUCAAGAUCCAUUCUUGAAUUCAAAAACAUAUAUGAGGAAACUAAAACGCGGUGUAAUAAAACCUGGGUUUUGUUCAUGUUCAUCCGCUGCUCUUAGUGGUGGUGGUGGCGGUGUGAGAGGGCGAUGAACGUAGGACUCCGGUUCGGAGCCAACAAAGGAGAAAAGUAGAGUUUUUGAAGGAGAAAGAUAGAGAAAGAGAAACAGAUCAGACCCAAAAAAAAGUUAAAAAAGAAGGCGGAGGACGUAUAAGGAUAAUAUGAGUUUUUUUGGAAGGUAAGCAUAUUAGGGUUCAAUGGUUUAAUGUCACUCAAAUUCGUUAGAAAUAGAUGUAUAAGAGCAUCCCCAACAGCUUCCUCAUUUUCUUAAAUUUCUCAAUUUUAGGGAAUAUAGAGCUCUUUUUAGGUCCAACAGCUUCCCCAUCCCAUUCUCCAAAAUGGGGAUGAAGAAGAAAAAGAAACAUUCAUUCCCCAAAUUUGCAGCAAAACCUUCCUUCCCCAAAAUUAAAUUCUUCACGUACUCCAACGAAUUUAAAACAACAAUAAAAUAUUUGAUUGGGUAGUUUAUUGUUACAAUGAAAUAUAUAAUGUUUUUUUGUUAUAAUUCAUGAUGAUAUAUUAUAUUUUAUUGUUGUAUUAAAUGCCGAAAUCUCUAAAAUGGAGAAGCUGCUGGAUUUUAAUCAUAAUUUUUUUAGAGAAUUUAGCUUUUACUUCCCCAUUUUAGAGAAAUUUUGGAGAAGCUGUUGGAUAUGCUCUAACUCUAACAGAUAUCUGUGUAAAUGUGCCUGGGUUCUAUUCUUACGAAAAGUUGUGUCUAAUUUUGUAUUUCACGUAUCCGUGUCAAUAUUUCACAUGGUUAAGAAUAUAUUAUCACAUUUGACACGGAUAUAAGUAACAAUAGUUUAUUGUUACGGAAUAGUGUAAUUAU